rnacentral:rRNA from 1 species
GACGAACGCUGGCGGCGUGCCUAAUACAUGCCAGUUGAGCGCUGAAGGUUGGUACUUGUACCAACUGGAUGAGCAGCGAACGGGUGAGUAACGCGUGGGGAAUCUGCCUUUGAGCGGGGGACAACAUUCGGAAACGAAUGCUAAUACCGCAUAAAAACUUUAAACACAAGUUUUAAGUUUGAAAGAUGCAAUUGCAUCACUCAAAGAUGAUCCCGCGUUGUAUUAGCUAGUUGGUGAGGUAAAGGCUCACCAAGGCGAUGAUACAUAGCCGACCUGAGAGGGUGAUCGGCCACAUUGGGACUGAGACACGGCCCAAACUCCUACGGGAGGCAGCAGUAGGGAAUCUUCGGCAAUGGACGAAAGUCUGACCGAGCAACGCCGCGUGAGUGAAGAAGGUUUUCGGAUCGUAAAACUCUGUUGGUAGAGAAGAACGUUGGUGAGAGUGGAAAGCUCAUCAAGUGACGGUAACUACCCAGAAAGGGACGGCUAACUACGUG